AUUUUAAAAUGUUUCUGCCAAGAGAAAUGACCGCAGUACUGUAUGAAGCUAUGGAAAAAACAGCUGAAUCUUUUUAUAUGCUGAUGCUGUUAUAAUAUCUAGUCCCUUCUGUUGAAAACAUAAGUUAAGGAAAUGUGUGCAUGGAAGUUCAGAAAUAAAUACCUGGACUUCUUUUAACAUGACACUGGAGAUGGUGGAAGAACCAGAAAGCUCCACUGCUUUUCCAUGGUGUAAACUACUGCUGAAAAUCAUAAAGAAGAAGAAAAAAAACCUUGAUUUGUAGUUCUGAAUAAAAUGACAUUAAGAGAACAUAUGUUUCUUUAUCACAUAUUACUUAAGAGAUUCUGACACUGUGUCCAAAGCAACUCCAUCUUCAAGGGGGAAAAAAGAAAAUCAUGCCAAAUCUGAUAGUCUUCUGAUGCGUUCCAUUAGUUGUGGAUUUCUACAAGGAUUUUUCAAACAAAAAAUUAAUUAUUAUUAACAGCAAUGGCUUUACUCAAGAUGACACAAAUAAGGUAACAGAAGCAUGUCAAAGUGGUACAGUUUGAGCUGAAAUCUAACUAUUCUACAGCAGCGGAAAGGGUUGAAGAUAACCUUGUUCAUCAGAGGAGAUUCAGAUGGAUCACUUUACCAGCUGUCAAGGCCAAUACUUCUGUACAGUCCCUGCUCUCAGCAACAUCCUCAGUGUCCUGGUGGUGGGGUGUCUUGGAAGGACUGUGCAGAUCAAGCUUCACACUCCCUCUGCACUUGAGGCUCUCUCUGCUGAGGCAAUGAACACAGACCUAUACUUCACACUGGUUUAUCACAGGAAUUUUUCCAGUCCCUGUUCAAACAGCUUCUGCCUGAGCAUCUCUGAACAGCCAUUUGGAGCAACUGGAAAGCAGACACAUCACAGAAACAAAGCUGGCAGCAGAAAGCUGCACCAUUCGGAAGAAGCAAGGCAGUCUUUCCUCACAGCUACGAUGCUGCACCGCUUUCGACAGAACCUGCUUUUCCCUCCAUUUACCUGGGCGGCUGCUGCUCUUUCUGCUGCUGCUGGGGCUGCUGCAGUCCUGCUGCCUGCACUUCCCCCUGGCUUGGCUGGCUCGAAACUCUCUCGUCUGCACAUUGCUAAGGAAGAAGAGCGAUGGAGCCGCGGAUUUUUUUUAUUGGUUCUGGAAGCCAAGGGUUGCAAUAUGUGA
ensembl:lncRNA